rnacentral:lncRNA from 1 species
CCCGCCCCCUUUCACAGUGAAAUUGGAACAGUCCUGGGACAGGUGUCAGCAAUCAAGACAUAAGGCUGUUUAUCCAACUCAGUCGAGGGGUCCUCAGGGAGUGAUAGUCUCAUUGAAGAAAACUACAAUUUAUUGAAACAAGAGAUAGUCCCGGCAGGUUGAGCAUGGGCAUCCGCAAGUGAUUGCCCUCUGACAGGUGGACGCGGAAGAAGAAUGGGCAGUCAGACUGUACCUCGGCGAUGAACGGCCGGGGGAGGGGGUGGGGAGCUCUGGGCGCGUUUCUCCAGUCUGUUGGAAACGCCAUUUCCAGGUAUAUGCCCUACGACAGGGUGCCCUACUAAGCCCGGCACGGCCGGGGUACGAGGGGCAGCCCUCCUGGCGAGGAGGGUGUAGGGCAGAGCUUCACUUUCUUCUAAGUCUCUGGGUUUCGGCCGAUGGAGAGAGGGAGAGACCAAGAGGAGUCGAGCUGGAGCGAAGGCCGGUCCAGGCCCGCCCAGGCCCGCUCCAGCCCCAGGCCUGAGGUAGCCUGGGCGGUGCACGGAGCCCGAAUACACCCGCCACCCGGCCGCCAGAUAACCCCGGUAGUAAAGCUCCCCAAGGGAAAACGAUGCAGCGCCUGGCACGUCCUGCGCGUCCCCGGCUCCAGGGCUCCUGGCUCCCUCGCUGCGCGGCCCCCUCCCCCGGCCGUUAUUGGACUCGAGCGCCGAUUUUGGUGCAAUGCGAAUUAGCUCCAGUCGCCAAGUCGUGAGGCUCCGGGAGCGUCAGCCACCGGCCGGCGCCUCGCGGCCCGAGUCAACGCCCACCUCCGCCAGCAUCCCAGCCGCCGCCUUUCGUCGCCAUAACAACCGGCCCCCGCCCAGCCCCGCGCCGCGCCGGGACGCCCGGGGAGGACGCCCCCGCCCUUGGCGCCCCGCAUCCGGGCGGCCUCGCACCCCCGCCCCCUUCCAGCCGCGUCCAAGCGCAGCGCAGAGGCGCCCCCUCCCGCCGCUAGGGAGGAAAGCCCUCGCGCCCCCAGACUUGACUUUGCAGAAUUAAUUAGGCAGCCCCGGAGGGCCGGGGUCCUUCAGCAAGCUCCCCGACUUCCGCACCUGCCUGGGUUCCCUGCACCUGCCCUUUCCCGGGCUCCGGGGCUCGCGCGGCGGCUGGGAGCGUGACCGGGCGGCGACGGCGGUGCCCCCGCGCCCGGGGCACGGCGCUCCCGGGGAGCAGGACAUCCCCGAAGGCGGCAGCGCGCGGGAGGCGGGGAGGCGGGAGGCGGCCGGGGAGCACGGAGAGGGCGGGGAGCCCGCGGGAGGAGGA